UUAAAGUUGUUGUGGUUAAAAAGCUCGUAGUUGAACCUUGGGCCUGGCUGGCCGGUCCGCCUCACCGCGUGUACUGGUCCGGCCGGGCCUUUCCCUCUGUGGAACCCCAUGCCCUUCACUGGGUGUGGCGGGGAAACAGGACUUUUACUGUGAAAAAAUUAGAGUGUUCAAAGCAGGCCUUUGCCCGAAUACAUUAGCAUGGAAUAAUAGAAUAGGACGUGCGGUUCUAUUUUGUUGGUUUCUAGGACCAUCGUAAUGAUUAAUAGGGACGGUCGGGGGCAUUAGUAUUCCAUUGCUAGAGGUGAAAUUCUU
rnacentral:rRNA from 1 species